rnacentral:lncRNA from 1 species
CCCAUAACCAAGGUGGAACCAAGGAGUAGGUAUAUAGCUGGCCCAGCAUUUGUAUAUGGAAGAAGUUCCCAGAGCUGCCUUGGAGCGAGAAGGCUUAUUUGAAGAUUUCCUUCUGCUGGAGGAUGCCUGGCUGGAAAAUAGUCUGAAUAAGUACUCUGUGCACCCACCGGGAGAGAUGUUUGUCCUUCUUAGCUGGGCAAGCAGAGGUGUGUUUGUUUAUAGUCCCAGACCCUUGUCUAAUUCAAAGACAAGCCAAAGAACGGCUGUAACUAAGGCUUACCUUGAGCAUUUAUUCAAAGUUUCAACUGGACUCUCAGGGGCCAUCUCUGAACAGAUGUGGUGUUAAGGGUGAGCAGGCUCCAACAGAGACAUGACCUCAUCAGGGCACCAUAAUUGGAUGAUCGGACCCUGAGGGUGUAGCCAGACUGCUGGCAGCUUUUGGAAGAUACUGUAGUCAGAACAACUAAAAAUUAAAGACGGACACAGCAAUAAAGUCUCCUUAUUACUCUUUUCCUUAUUCUCC